rnacentral:tRNA from 1 species
GGAUUGUGGCUCAGGGGUAGAGCGCUCAACUAGCAUGCAUGAGGUACUGGGUUCGAUUCUCAGCACCA